ACAGUGUCAACUACGGUACUGCCGCCAACAGCCACAUGACAUCAUCGCGGAAGAUAUUCACCGCAACCCAGGGCAACUUCGUCACAUCUGCUCCGGACUAUGAUGAGGACAAGUACAAACGACGAUCCGGAUUUGAGCUUCUGUCACGCUGGAUCAAGUCAAGGACAAUAAUGGCUUGGCAGCCGCAGACGAGACCCGCACACGUUCCUCAAGCGCUGGGUUGUCCUUUCCAUCCUCAUUGUCCUAGGACUCUUCACCGUCGUCUAUUUUCUCAUGCACUGGGGCCGUUGCCGCCGCGGAGUCGGACCCACUGCUAGAUCCCCGGCUCAUCCGGACAUCAGAGUCCACGACGAGUCUCAAGACAUGCAGCCGCGCUGAGGUGUCGGCCAUUGGUGGGCGCUCGCAUCUUAGCAGAAAAAUAAAGAAAAGAGCGUGGGGAAUUAGGCAGCACCGGUCUGUGCAUUUGAACCGGCCGGUGCCACCGUGAAUGUGUAUAUAGUAUCGGGUCUUUUGAAGCCUAUCUGCGGUGUCUUUUGGGGCAGGUAGUUGCCAGUGCUUUCAAUGAGCGUGUGUGGCGGGUU